rnacentral:rRNA from 1 species
GAAAGACGAUCAGGUUGAUAGGUUCGAGGUGGAAGUGCAGCAAUGCAUGCAGCUGACGAAUACUAAUCGGUCGAGGGCUUAUCCUA